rnacentral:rRNA from 1 species
UACGAAGGGGGCUAGCGUUGCUCGGAAUCACUGGGCGUAAAGGGUGCGUAGGCGGGUCUUUAAGUCAGGGGUGAAAUCCUGGAGCUCAACUCCAGAAAUGCCUUUGAUACUGAAGAUCUUGAGUUCGGGAGAGGUGAGUGGAACUGCGAGUGUAGAGGUGAAAUUCGUAGAUAUUCGCAAGAACACCAGUGGCGAAGGCGGCUCACUGGCCCGGUACUGACGCUGAGGUGCGAAAGCGUGGGGAGCAAACAGG